GACGAACGCUUUCUUCUUUCUUAACACAUGCAAGUCGAACGGAAAGGCCCCUUCGGGGGUCCUCGAGUGGCGAACAGGUGAGUAACACGUGAGUAACCUGCCCUUGACUUCGGGAUAACUUCAGGAAACUGGGGCUAAUACCGGAUAGGAAUCCUUGCUGCAUGGUGGGGGUUGGAAAGCUUCGGCGGUUUUGGAUGGACUCGCGGCUUAUCAGCUUGUUGGUGGGGUAGUGGCUUACCAAGGCUUUGACGGGUAGCCGGCCUGAGAGGGCGACCGGCCACAUUGGGACUGAGAUACGGCCCAGACUCCUACGGGAGGCAGCAGGGGGGAAUACUGCACAAUGGGCGGAAGCCUGAUGCAGCAACGCCGCGUGCGGGAUGACGGCCUUCGGGUUGUAAACCGCUUUCAGCAGGGGCGAAGCUUGUGGUGACGGUACCUGCAGAAGAAGCACCGGCUAACUACGUG
rnacentral:rRNA from 1 species